rnacentral:lncRNA from 10 species
CGCCUUCUGCCUGCCCCCUCGGCCUUCUUCACUUAGCCUUCGACGGCCGAGCGCCCCAGGGGUGGCGGUGGGAGUGGGGUUGUUGAGCGGCGCUGGCUCCUUUCACAAAUGGGGAAACUGAGGCUUAAAGGGCGUCUGACUCGCCAGAGCAGCUCAGCCUGCAGCUGCUAGCAGUGGCGUCUCAUAUUAGCAUUGUUGUCAACCGGAGGCGGUGCGAGUCCGCCGGGGAUUCCAGAUGGGGCUCCUGCGCCGCCCGCCUAUCAUUUGCGGCCUGUAUUCGCGCGUCGCUCCCGCAGAGCCACCUCCCAGCAGGCCCACGCCCGCGGGGGCCCCGGGCUGGCGCCGCUGUCCCUGGAAUCGAUGUGAGUCACUGCUGACGCUUUGCAGGAGCAUGCAUCUCACCUCAGAAAGUCUCUGACGUUGCUGCGGAGCGGGGAGAGGAUGUUUCUCUAUUAGCCCUUUGCUUUUGCUCUGGCGCUGAUCCUUUGCUGACCUUGGACAAAUCAAUUUACGUUUCUGUGCUCCAGUUUCUUGGUUUAUAAAAGACGGUCUCCUUCUGUCACCCAGGCUGGAGUGUAGUGGAACGAUCACCGCUGAACUGCAGCGUCGGCUUCCUGGGCUCAAGCGAUCCUCCCACCUCAACCUCCCAAGUCAUGGGGACUACAGAUGCCAUCACACCUGGCUAAUUUUUAAAUUUUUCUGUGGAGACAGGGUCUCAUUCUGUUGCCCAGGCUUGUCUCGAACCCUGGUCUAAAGUGAUCUUCCCGCCUAGCCUCCCAAAAUGUUGGAAUUACAGUCUGCAGAUCUCCAGGGGAGCCCACCAGCCUAGUCAACAUGGCCUCGGAAGACAUUGCCAAGCUGGCAGAGACACUUGCCAAGACUCAGGUGGCCGGGGGACAGCUGAGUUUCAAAGGCAAGAGCCUCAAACUCAACACUGCAGAAGAUG